rnacentral:rRNA from 1 species
ACGCUGGCGGCGUGCCUAAUACAUGCAAGUCGAACGGCUUUUCUAUGGAAGCUUGCUUCCACUGAGAAGAUAGUGGCGAACGGGUGAGUAACACGUGGGUAACCUGCCCAUAAGAGGGGGAUAACAUCCGGAAACGGGUGCUAAUACCGCAUAGUUUCUUGAUCGCAUGAUUGAGAAAGGAAAGACGGCCUUUGCGCUGUCGCUUAUGGAUGGACCCGCGGCGUAUUAGUUAGUUGGUGAGGUAACGGCUCACCAAGACGAUGAUACGUAGCCGACCUGAGAGGGUGAUCGGCCACAUUGGGACUGAGACACGGCCCAAACUCCUACGGGAGGCAGCAGUAGGGAAUCUUCCGCAAUGGACGAAAGUCUGACGGAGCAACGCCGCGUGAGUGAAGAAGGUUUUCGGAUCGUAAAACUCUGUUGUCAGAGAAGAACAAGUUGGAGAGUAACUGCUCCAGCCUUGACGGUAUCUGACCAGAAAGCCACGGCUAACUACGUG